GAUCAUGGCUCAGGAUGAACGCUAGCGGCAGGCUAACACAUGCAAGUCGAGGGGCAGCGGGAUGUAGCAAUACAUUGCCGGCGACCGGCGGAUGGGUGCGUAACGCGUAUGCAACCUACCUUAUACAGGGGAAUAACCUUUCGAAAGGGAGACUAACACCCCAUAGUAUUGAUUUAAGGCAUCUUAGAUUAAUUAAAUAUUUAUAGGUAUAAGAUGGGCAUGCGUAUGAUUAGCUAGUUGGUAAGGUAACGGCUUACCAAGGCGACGAUCAUUAGGGGUUCUGAGAGGAAGGUCCCCCACACUGGUACUGAGACACGGACCAGACUCCUACGGGAGGCAGCAGUGAGGAAUAUUGGUCAAUGGGCGCAAGCCUGAACCAGCCAUGCCGCGUGCAGGAAGACGGCCUUAUGGGUUGUAAACUGCUUUUACAUAAGACUAACCGUAUAUUUGCGAAUAUACCUGAAUGUAUUAUGAGAAUAAGGAUCGGCUAACUCCGUGCCAGCCGCAGC
rnacentral:rRNA from 1 species